GCCCAGAGUUCUUCUAGCACACAAAAGUGUCCUGAUAUAGGAUUCAUUAUUUUUUAUGAAUUGUGCACUUUGGCUUUAUUUAGUUCCAUGUUACUAUUGACUUUUGAGUAAGCAAAGAAGUAUAACACCUUUUUUUGUUGCAAAUAUUGCACCCAUAAGAUAUUUAACUUGCACUUCCAGUUAGACCAAUUGGCAAAUGCCAACAUCAAGACUCUGGAACUCUGGAUAUAGGACUCAUGGCAACAGGGAUCCACUUGGAAUAAGAGUAGUGGAACUCAGAAUCGGUUUUGUUGCUACUUUCAGGGAACUCUGAUCUCUUUUGGAUUCAUUUAGCUCAUCCUCAAGCAGUUGGAGUAGCCUCAGAAGGUCCAUGCUGGGCCAGCGACUCCUCUAGUCAUAAGACCUCUGAGCAACUAAAUAAAAUUUCAGUAAGUUUACAUUUUCCUUCCCAUUUGAUCACUCAUUAUCUGACUCAAAGUAUGAGAGAAGGAAAAUUAGGUUACCAUGUUGCCUUAGGAAUUCCUUUAACAGUAGCAGAAGUUCUACUUCUAGUACUCCAGAUCUGGCAGUGUACCAGAUUCCAAACUUCUCAAACUACUUACCUUGAUAGGGAUAGAGUCAGGAAGAAUUGAAUUCCAGGCCAGCCUCAGACAUUUACUAACUCAGUGAACCUUGACAAGUCACCUAAUCUCUAUUUGCUUCAUUUUCCUCAGCUACAAAAUGGGAAUCAUAAUAGCACCUACUUCUCAAGGUCAUUGUGAGAAGCAAUGGAGAUAUUAUUGGUAAAGUGUUUACUUUGCGCAAUUCCUAGUACAUAGCAUGUACAUAGAUACUUGUUCCCUACCCUUACCCUACUCUCCUACUAUAUUAUUAACAACUGGCUUUUAAACCAACAGGGAAGAUAAAUAGGAAAAUCUUUUCUAAUCUUUAUCCCUUUCAGAUCUAUAACUCCUGAUUGGGAAUAUGUGUAUGCUUUAUUUAAGAUGAUACUGGGAGGUAAACUAGUCUAGUAGGUAAAGGACUUAGAGUCAGAAUUCCAGGGUUCAAUGCCCCUUUCUGGAAUAUUUCAAAUGUCUGCCCUGAGCUUAGUAAAUUAAUCUCUUGUUGCCUGAAGCAACUUUAUAAAAUUACAAACUGCAGAAUUGAUUCCAGUAUACUUUGCUAGAGGGAAUAUCCUCACUAGUGACUUUCAACAUAAAUGAAAUCACAGGUCUGGACAAAAAGAAAAUGAACAUCUUAUCAGGACUGAUCAGAAUGCUUGAUGUGGAAUUUGAUACCAAUAAAUGAAAGUGGCAGAAUAAGUAAUGAAUGCA
rnacentral:lncRNA from 1 species